rnacentral:tRNA from 148 species
GCGCCCUUAGCUCAGCUGGAUAGAGCAACGGCCUUCUAAGCCGUAGGUCACAGGUUCGAACCCUGUAGGGCGUACCA